GAUGAAGAACGUAGCGAAAUGCGAUAAGUAAUGUGAAUUGCAGAAUCCAGUGAAUCAUCGAAUCUUUGAACGCACAUUGCGCCCGCCAGCAUUCUGGCGGGCAUGCCUGUUCGAGCGUCAUUUCAACCCUCGACCUCCCUUUGGGGAAGUCGGCGUUGGGGACCGGCAGCACACCGCCGGCCCUGAAAUGGAGUGGCGGCCCGUCCGCGGCGACCUCUGCGUAGUAAUCCAACUCGCACCGGAACCCCGACGCGGCCACGCCGUAAAACACCCAACUUCUGAACGUUGACCUCGAAUCAGGUAGGACUGCCCGCUGAACUUAAGCAUAUCAAUAAGCGGACGA
rnacentral:misc_RNA from 1 species